rnacentral:rRNA from 1 species
UUAAGGGCUAGUUUUGUGGGCAAAAGCGUAAAGGGUGUGAUAGGCCGUUUUAAUUAAAAAGGGUUUUAUAAUUUAAGAAGGUAAAUGGAAUUUUUUUGUAGCGGUGGAAUGUGUAAAUAGAAAAAAGAACUUUAGACGUGAAGACUAUUUAUUUUUGAGAUUAUAGUGUGAUGGCUAAAACACGAGAGUAUGGGGAGCAAACAGGAUUAGGGACCCUGGUAGUCUAUACUGUAAAUAAUGAAAAAGAUGUGAAGCAAUCCUAAAAAGUCAGAAAUUUUCCGCUUGAGUAGUACGACCGCAAGGUUAAAAUUCAAAAAACUUGGCUGUUCACUGUUUUAAUUAGAGGAGCGUGUCGUUUAAUUCGAUAGUCCGCGAGAGACCUUACCCAAACUUGAAUCCUUCAUUGACAGGUAUUG